UGGGAUAGAGUUAAUUUUCUUCACUCUAGCUGGUACAGUGCUGUGGUUUUGAUUUACAUGGAAAAAAAAACCUGUUGAGAUAACACACAGAUGUUUAGGCUGUUGCUGGGUAGCGCUUGUACUAGUCAAGGACAUGUCUAGCUUCCCAUGCUCUGCUGGGUGCACCAGAAGCCGGGAGGGGAGGGGGGCACAGCUAAGAGAGUGGAUUCAAACUGACCAAAGGGAUAUUCCAUAUCAUGUAAUAUCAUGCCCAGUAUGUUAACUGGGAGGGGCUGGCCAGGGGAGGAGGAGGCAAUCGCGGCUCAGGGACGGGCAGUGUCGGUCGCCGGGUGGUGAGUGGUUGUAUCAUUUGUGUUUCCAUGUUUGUUUUUUUUCCUGUUUUCCCUUUCCCUUCCUUUUCCAUUUUAUUAUAUUAACAUUAUUGUCAUUAUUAUCAUAAUCAUUGGUACUAUUAUUAUCAUUUUAUUGUAAUCAUUAAACUGUGCUUAUCUCAACCCACAA